rnacentral:rRNA from 1 species
CCUACGGGAGGCUGCAGUGAGGAAUAUUCCUCAAUGGGCGAAAGCCUGAAGGAGCGACGCCGCGUGUAUGAAGACGCCUUUCGGGGUGUAAAGUACUUUUAUUAGGGAUGAAACAAUGACCGUACCUAAUGAAUAAGGGGCUGCUAACCUCGUGCCAGCAGCAGCGGUAAUACGAGGGCCCCAAGCAUUAUCCGGAUUUAUUGGGCGUAAAGCGUCCGCAGACCGUUUGUCACAUCUCCUGUUAAAUCCUCUGGCUCAACCAGGGGGCUGCGGGAGAGAUGGAUAAACUAGAGACUGGAAGAGGCAAUCGGAAUUGCUGGUGUAGGGGUUAAAUCCGUUAAUAUCAGCAGGAACACUCAAUGCGAAGGCAAAUUGCUGGGACAGUUCUGACGUUCAGGGACGAAAGCGUGGGGAGCGAAUGGGAUUAGAUACCCCUGUAGUC